CUUAGUGGCGGACGGGUGAGUAACGCGUGGGUAACCUGCCUUACACUGGGGGAUAACACUUAGAAAUAGGUGCUAAUACCGCAUAAGCGCACGAAGCCGCAUGGAUUUGUGUGAAAAACUCCGGUGGUGUAAGAUGGACCCGCGUCUGAUUAGCUUGUUGGCGGGGUAACGGCCCACCAAGGCGACGAUCAGUAGCCGGCCUGAGAGGGUGGACGGCCACAUCGGGACUGAGACACGGCCCAAACUCCUACGGAAGGCAGCAG
rnacentral:rRNA from 1 species